rnacentral:lncRNA from 1 species
UUUAUGUUGCAUUUCUUGCCUCUUACAGAUGUGAUAUACGUCUCAGCUGCAGGCAGUGUGCUCUGCCAGAUUGUUAACGCCCUACUGUUACUCCCAGUGUCAGUGGCUCGUCCCCUGUUGAGUUACCUCCUGGAUCUCUUGCCACCUCUUGAUUGCCUUAAUAGACUCCUGCCAGCUGCUGCUCUUCUAGAAGACCAAGAGUUACAGUGGCCUCUUCAUGGAGGGCCAGAAGUAAUCGAUCCUGCUGGUGUUCCAUUACCUCAGCCCGCUCAGUCUUGGGUGUGGCUUGUGGAGCUGGAAAGAACAAUUGUUCUCCUUAUCGGGCGGUGUCUUGGUGGCAUGCUUCAGGGUUCCCCCGUGUCUCCAGAGGAACAGGAUACUGCUUAUUGGAUGAAAACACCACUUUUCAGUGAUGGAGUUGAAAUGGACACUCCUUAGCUAGAUAAAUGUAUGAGUUGCCUGUUAGAAGUAGCUCUUUCUGGAAAUGAAGAACAGAAGCCUUUUGAUUAUAAAUUGUGGCCUGAAAUUGCUGUCUAUGUAGACUUGGCAUUGGGUUGUUCUAAAGAGCUGGCCCGUAGCCUUUG